UCCAUGGUGACAUGGAAUCUGAAGGAAGUUGGAGGCAAAUCUCUGGUCUGACGAACAGAAAUCAUAUAAGAGGCAACAUGUAGGGAUAAGGCUGCAAAUGAAGCUAAAGUCCAAUAGCUAUUGAAACCACUACAUGGUGUAUAUAUGGCAGAUAGAUGGAGAGAAAGAGUUCGCA
rfam:Bacillus sp. VT-16-64 NODE_102, whole genome shotgun sequence.